GAUUAUUUAGUUUAUAAAAAAUAAAUGUUUUGAAAACAUUAGAAAAGAAUUUAUCUUAAUAAUCG
rnacentral:tRNA from 1 species